UACAGAGGGUGCAAACGUUGCUCGGAAUUAUUGGGCGUAAAGCGUACGUAGGCGGUCCAGCAAGUCGGGUGUGAAAGCCCUCGGCUUAACCGAGGAAGUGCAUUCGAAACUACAGGACUUGAAUACUGGAGAGGAUUGCGGAAUUCCCGGUGUAGAGGUGAAAUUCGUAGAUAUCGGGAGGAACACCAGUGGCGAAGGCGGCAAUCUGGACAGAUAUUGACGCUGAUGUACGAAAGCGUGGGGAGCAAACAGG
rnacentral:rRNA from 1 species